GACGAACGCUGGCGGCGUGCUUAACACAUGCAAGUCGAACGAAAAGACGGAAAGAGCUUGCUCUUUUCAGAAUUGAGUGGCAAACGGGUGAGUAACACGUAAACAACCUGCCUUCAGGAUGGGGACAACAGACGGAAACGACUGCUAAUACCGAAUAAGUUCCAAGAGCCGCAUGGCCCAUGGAAGAAAAGGUGGCCUCUACCUGUAAGCUAUCGCCUGAAGAGGGGUUUGCGUCUGAUUAGCUGGUUGGAGGGGUAACGGCCCACCAAGGCGACGAUCAGUAGCCGGUCUGAGAGGAUGAACGGCCACACUGGAACUGAGACACGGUCCAGACUCCUACGGGAGGCAGCAGUGGGGAAUCUUCCGCAAUGGGCGAAAGCCUGACGGAGCAACGCCGCGUGAGUGAUGACGGCCUUCGGGUUGUAAAACUCUGUGAUCCGGGACGAAAAGGCAGAGUGCGAAGAACAAACUGCAUUGACGGUACCGGAAAAGCAAGCCACGGCUAACUACGUGCCAGCAGCCGCGGUAAUACGUAGGUGGCAAGCGUUGUCCGGAAUUAUUGGGCGUAAAGCGCGCGCAGGCGGCUUCCCAAGUCCCUCUUAAAAGUGCGGGGCUUAACCCCGUGAUGGGAAGGAAACUGGGAAGCUGGAGUAUCGGAGAGGAAAGUGGAAUUCCUAGUGUAGCGGUGAAAUGCGUAGAGAUUAGGAAGAACACCGGUGGCGAAGGCGACUUUCUGGACGAAAACUGACGCUGAGGCGCGAAAGCGUGGGGAGCAAACCGG
rnacentral:rRNA from 1 species